UACGGGGGAGGCAAGCGUUGUUCGGAAUUACUGGGCGUAAAGGGCUCGUAGGUGGCCAACUAAGUCAGACGUGAAAUCCCCAGGCUCAACUUGGGAACUGCGUCUGAUACUGGAUGGCUUGAAUUCGGGAGAAGAAUGCAGAAUUCCAGGUGUAGCGGUGAAAUGCGUAGAUAUCUGGAGGAAUACCGGUGGCGAAGGCGGCAUCCUGGACCGAGAUUGACACUGAUGAGCGAAAGCUAGGGGAGCAAACGGG
rnacentral:rRNA from 1 species